rnacentral:rRNA from 1 species
CCUACGGGAGGCAGCAGUGAGGAAUAUUGGUCAAUGGGCGGAAGCCUGAACCAGCCAAGUAGCGUGCGGGAUGAAGGCCCUACGGGUCGUAAACCGCUUUUGCACGGGGAUAACACCCUCCACGUGUGGAGGUCUGCAGGUACCGUGCGAAUAAGGGCCGGCUAACUCCGUGCCAGCAGCCGCGGUAAUACGGAAGGCCCGAGCGUUAUCCGGAUUUAUUGGGCUUAAAGGGAGCGUAGGCGGGCGUUCAAGUCAGCGGUAAAAUCGCGCGGCUCAACCGCGCCCCGCCGUUGACACUGGGCGCCUUGAGUUCACGACAGGCAGGCGGAAUUCGUGGUGUAGCGGUGAAAUGCAUAGAUAUCACGAGGAACCCCGAUUGCGAAGGCAGCCUGCCGGGGUGCGACUGACGCUGAGGCUCGAAAGUGCGGGUAUCAAACAGGAUUAGAUACCCUGGUAGUC